rnacentral:rRNA from 1 species
GACGAACGCUGGCGGCGUGCUUAACACAUGCAAGUCGAACGAAGUGGCGAACGGGUGAGUAACGCGUAAUCAACCGGACCUUCAGCGGGGGACAACAGUUGGAAACGACUGCUAAUACCGCAUACUGAAGGCGGGGAUUGCGUCUGAUUAGCUAGUUGGCGGGUUAACGUCCCACCAAGGCGAUGAUCAGUAGCCAGUCUGAGAGGAGGAUCGGCCACAUUUGGACGGAGACACGGCCCAGACUCCUACGGGAGGCAGAAGUAGGGAAGCUUCCGCAACGGAAGAAAGUCUGACGGAGCAACGCCGCGUGAGGGAGGACGGCCUUCGGGUUGUAAAGCUCUGUUAAUCGGGACGCGGUACCGGAAUAGAAAGCCACGGCUAACUACGUGCCAGCCGCCGCGGUAAUUC